rnacentral:misc_RNA from 1 species
UUAAGUUCAGCGGGUAGUCCUACCUGAUUUGAGGUCAGAGUCAAAAAUUGCCCGAGGGCGAUUGUAAGCAGUCAUCACAACCUUCACCGACGAAACUUAUUACGCCGACUACGGUGCUAUCCCGCUAAGUCUUUUAAGGCGAGCCGGCAGAGCGGCAACACCCAAGUCAAUCUCCUCGGAAACCCCGAGGGAUUGAGUCU